rnacentral:lncRNA from 1 species
AAGCAGAGAUCAUUUUGGAGAUUUUUCGUGUGGCGCAACCAUACAAGGGCUCAUACUUCUCCAUAAACCAAGCUUAACACAUGUCUGGUUUAAACUACAAUAGUGAAAGCCUCCUUGAUGGCCUGCAAGAAGUCAUAUACGGAUCAGCAUGCAGAAACCUAUGGCCAACAGUUGAUCGCUGUAUAUCAGAAAUAUGAAUCAAUGCCUAUUUCUGAAUAGUUAACUGGUUCUUAGGGUAGUCAAAACUAUUGCCACAAAAAAUGUUGCACAGUGCUAAAGUUAUUUGUAAAUAUACUAUGUUUUUGCUGCCAUGCAUUAAUCAUAGAGGGUCAAACUUGGUCCUGUCAGUUCUGCAUGCGCAGCAAGUAUGCUUAGAAAAUUCAGACUGCACCUGUUUCAAUAGCAUUAGCGAGAUAACAAGGCAGCACAGAAUACACAUGAAACAGAAAACUGCUUUUAACACCUGAAACACAAGGUGCCAAUAAGCAGCAUUGAAAAUUGGUACACAACCUUAAUAUCGCUUCUUGUGUAAUUCUACAAACAGAUAACUGGAAAUUGAUCCAGGGAGAACAAAUUAGACCAGUCAGAGCUAACGCUAUAAACAACAGAAGCAUUUUUUUAUGCACAAGCAACUGCUUACCGUACAUAUCUAGCAGCAUUCAAGAAUAUAAAACACUUUAUAGGUAUUUUUGUCAAUCAACUGCAUAGAAUGUUUACCUAACUCAGUCUCUUCACCAUGUCCUCAUCCCAACCAUAGCAAAUGUACUUAGCCUGCAGAGACAAUAUUUGUUACAAGUAAAAUCUACAAUGCCAAGAGAAGGAAUCAGUUCACACUUCACCUGAAGGCAUUUCAUACUAUGCCAGGAAGCAAUGUCCAGAUUUAAUCAUAC